GAAUCCCAUUCAGCCAGUUAACAGACAAGAGGAGAAAGCACGAUUUCAGGUCACAGAUGAAAAUGCUGCUUGUGGAUUAAGUUUACAAUAAAAGUACCAUAGGUCUGAACACCCUGAAAGAUGGUGGCAAGUGAAAAAGUCAAUGAGUAGAUUUAAAUGUUGCAGUUGGCCUUGUACUUUGUGUGGAAACAAGACCUAAAGUUAAAAAUGUGCAAAAAAAAAAAAAAAAAAAAAAAACAAAACAAAACAAAACUCAUAGGCCACGGUGAGUGGCUUGUCUGGUUACAGAGACUAUAACAGAAGUAGUGGCCAAAUUAGUACAGGUAUGCAGAAUGAAGUAUGUGGGAAGAUAGAGGAAUGGUGACAGGCUUGAAAAGAGUACUACCACUGGAGAAUCUCCACCAGGGAAGAGGUACCAGAUACCUAAAUGGUCAGUGAGCUGAGCAGCUGUCAGCAAGAUUUGUGCUUCCAGUCUUCCUAGCAUGGGUACUGAGGCGCAGAGUUGAUGUUGUACUUCAUUGUGGUGCUGACAGCUGUCCAGAACGGAGAUACUGGGUCAGCUUGUAUAAAGAGCCUUGGUUUGGAAACCAGCUACUGGCUGGUGUUUGUCAGUAUUCUACAGAGUUUAUUCAGUAAGGUUUGCUAUGACCUUUAGGAAACUAUUUGUAGAUUGUAGAUAAAUUUGAUUGGGAGAGGAGUAGAUUUGAUUAAGGAGUGACUGCCACAGAUGUUGGAAGUGUCACUGGUUAGGAGUCUUCAACUGCUGUCUGUUUCACAUUUUGGUUAAGCUCCCAAGAAUCUCUGCCUCAGAUUGUAUCUUGGCAUGGUAGGGAGGAUUUGCAUCUAACAAGUUAUAGUUAAAAAUGGACCCAAGAAUCAAGCCCAUGUAGCCAUUUUAAUGCCUGACAAAAUAGACUUCAAACCAAAACUAAUCAAAAGAUGAGUGACAGACACUGUAUACUAAUCAACAAAAAACCCAAAAAACAAAAAAUUAUCCACCAAGAGGAUAUUACAGUUCUUAACAUCUAUGCACUAAACACACGGGCACCCAAAUUCAUAAAAGAAACACUACCACAGCUUAAAUCACAUAGAGACCUUCACAGAGUACUGAAGUCCCCCACUUUCACCUAUAGACAGGUCAUCAAGACAAAAAUAAAACAAUAGGUAGAGUUAAAUAAUGUCACAAACCAAAUGGACCUAAAAUAUUACAGAACGUUUCACACCAAACAAUAUACCUCUCUCAGCACCUCACAGAACUCUCUCCAAACAUAACCACACAGUCAAGACACAAAGCAAGUCUCAACAGAUACAAGAAAAUUGAAAUAAUACCCUGUAUCCUGUCUGACCACCAUAGAUUAAAGCUAGAUAUCCACAACAAAAGGCUUACAAACUCGGAGAAACUGAACAACUCUCUACUGAAUGGAAAAUGGAUCAAUACAGAAAUUAAGAAAUUUAGAACUCUUUAGAAUUGAAUGAAAACAAAAAGACAACAAAGCCAAGUAUAGGACACAGGCAGUUUUAAGAGGAAGUUUAUCAUGCUAAGUGUCUACAUAAAUUUUAGAGACCUCAUAUUAGUAACACAUUACCUGAAAGCUCUAAAACAAAAAGAACAAAUAACACC
rnacentral:lncRNA from 1 species